UACGUAGGGUGCGAGCGUUAAUCGGAAUUACUGGGCGUAAAGCGUGCGCAGGCGGUUGUGUAAGACAGGUGUGAAAUCCCCGGGCUUAACCUGGGAACUGCGCUUGUGACUGCACGGCUAGAGUACGGCAGAGGGGGGUGGAAUUCCACGUGUAGCAGUGAAAUGCGUAGAGAUGUGGAGGAACACCGAUGGCGAAGGCAGCCCCCUGGGCCGAUACUGACGCUGAGACGCGAAAGCGUGGGGAGCAAACAGG
rnacentral:rRNA from 1 species